GAAAAAGAAUAACCAGAACCGAAUCAUCAACAAUGGCUGAUGUUAAGACAUGUUAUAGAGGGGGUAUGCAUGAAGUUCUUACGGAGAUAUUGGCGAAGGUGGCUUCUUCAUCAUUGGUUGACCACUUAAACGUCAACCAAACUUGCAAGUUUUUCCAUGAAACUGCACAGGACGAUUUUUGCUCCGACAUGCUUCCCUUGAUGAACUCCCAGUAAUUCAAUGGACCUCGAAGGCGGAGGUUGCAUCUUUCCUGAAACGAUGUGAACAUGCUCAAAAUCCAGAAGUUCUGUAUAGACAAGUAAUGGUGGAGUUCUUUUAUAACAACCAAAUCGAGUUAGGGCGGGAGUUAUUGCAAAGAUCAUCUAAUUCUGGGCAUACAGUUGCCACGUAUGUUCUAGGAAUUAUAUUCCUUGAUUCUGGUGAUCAUCAAUCAAUCCUUAGAGGGAGAGAAUUAUUGAACAGAAUAUUAAUAAAAAGAUCCAAUAACAAGACAUCGAGAGGUGAAGAUGUUGAAGAAUGCCGAAAGAAAUCAAGGAGGGUUGUUAGGCAAUUGUGGGUUAACAAUUCUCUUAAUCCCUCACAAAGCCAAGCUUGCAAUAGUUCAAGAUACACAACUGGUCAGAAAAACAUAAAUGGAUGGUCGUCGAAUUACGAAGAUAUGUCGGAUUGCAAAAUAUGCAGAUGCAACCGCGAGUUUUCUCAUUUUACUAAAAUGGUACUAGGUGUCAACCAGUUAGUCAUGAGUCUCGUUGUAACUAAUAAACAAUUUUCUUCAAAUGGGUAGUUAAACUGAUUA